rnacentral:rRNA from 1 species
AUACAUGCAGUCGUACGCUUCUUUUUCCACCGGAGCUUGCUCCACCGGAAAAAGAAGAGUGGCGAACGGGUGAGUAACACGUGGGUAACCUGCCCAUCAGAAGGGGAUAACACUUGGAAACAGGUGCUAAUACCGUAUAACAAUCGAAACCGCAUGGUUUUGAUUUGAAAGGCGCUUUCGGGUGUCGCUGAUGGAUGGACCCGCGGUGCAUUAGCUAGUUGGUGAGGUAACGGCUCACCAAGGCCACGAUGCAUAGCCGACCUGAGAGGGUGAUCGGCCACAUUGGGACUGAGACACGGCCCAAACUCCUACGGGAGGCAGCAGUAGGGAAUCUUCGGCAAUGGACGAAAGUCUGACCGAGCAACGCCGCGUGAGUGAAGAAGGUUUUCGGAUCGUAAAACUCUGUUGUUAGAGAAGAACAAGGAUGAGAGUAACUGUUCAUCCCUUGACGGUAUCUAACCAGAAAGCCACGGCUAACUACGUGCCAGCAGCCGCGGUAAUACGUAGGUGGCAAGCGUUGUCCGGAUUUAUUGGGCGUAAAGCGAGCGCAGGCGGUUUCUUAAGUCUGAUGUGAAAGCCCCCGGCUCAACCGGGGAGGGUCAUUGGAAACUGGGAGACUUGAGUGCAGAAGAGGAGAGUGGAAUUCCAUGUGUAGCGGUGAAAUGCGUAGAUAUAUGGAGGAACACCAGUGGCGAAGGCGGCUCUCUGGUCUGUAACUGACGCUGAGGCUCGAAAGCGUGGGGAGCAAACAGGAUUAGAUACCCUGGUAGUCCACGCCGCAAACGAUGAGUGCUAAGUGUUGGAGGGUUUCCGCCCUUCAGUGCUGCAGCUAACGCAUUAAGCACUCCGC